UACGUAGGGGCAAGCGUUGGUCCGGAUUUAUUGGGCGUAAAGAGCGUGUAGGCGGCCAGGUAGGUCUGCUGUGAAAACUCGAGGCUUAACCUCGAGCUGUCGGCGGAAACCAUCUGGCUAGAGUCCGGAAGAGGAGAAUGGAAUUCCCGGUGUAGCGGUGAAAUGCGCAGAUAUCGGGAAGAACACCCGUGGCGAAGGCGGUUCUCUGGGACGGUACUGACGCUGAGACGCGAAAGCGUGGGGAGCGAACAGG
rnacentral:rRNA from 1 species